UUAAGAGGAUUUAAAUAUAAUUAUUAACAAAUUGAUCAAGCGUUCAAAUAAUUUCAAUAAUAAUUUCCAUUGUUAUCUAGAAUCAGAUUAUGGAUCGACCGAUCGAUCGAUUAAUCUAUCAAUACGUUUUCUUUUCUUUUUUUUUAAUGAAAAACUUUUCUCAUUCACACGAUACUAUUAUUAUUAUUAUUAUUAUUAUUAUUAUUAUUAUUAUUAUUAUUAUUAUUAUUAUUAUUAAAAAAACGUUAGACUCUCGUAUAACUUUCGUUGAUAAAUUUCAAGUGGCUUAUCUCGAAUCGGACAAAGGACCGAUCGACAAUACGCGUUAGAUUCAAAAAAAUAAAAAAAAAAAAUAAAAAGAAAGACAGAAAAGAGAAUCAUUAGAAAGAACGUAGAAGAAUCUUGUUAGGCGAAUGAUACAUUGCUACGAUUUAAAAUCAAGUAUUUUCAUUGAUAAAAUAUGCGUGAUCGAUUAGCUACUAACAUAUAUACAUACACACACACACACACACAUACACAGAGUUAUAUAUAUAUAUAUUCGUGUUAAUAAGAAAUAAUAUUACCACACAAUGUUAAAAUAUAUAUUUAAACGUCGAAGUGUUCAGACGUCGGGGAAUUCAAAAUUUAUGAACAAUGAAGAAGAAAAAAAGAAGAAAAAAUUUAUGACAAAAACCAGUUUUAUCGAGGAAGGAACAUUUAUUUACUACUUCGUAUUUCGAGGAAUUUUGUGAUUCGUCGAUAUCGCAUAAUAAUCGGUUUGAGAAAUAUUCUUCAAUGCCUUAGAACCUAAGGCAACGCUGUUUAUAAUGACGUAAUCAUGAAAAUAACUUCUCUAGUUCUAUAAAUACGAACACUGAAACGAGCGAAGCACCAGAUCAUUUUUAUUUCUCAACGACAGGAACAACAAUAUCGAUCUUCAGAUUGGAUUAUUAUUUUUUUAUCAAAUUAAUUUUAUCAUAAUAUUAAAAAGGAAAAAAAAGAAUAAAUAAAAAAGAAAGAGAAAUUAAUAAGAAGAAAUAAGAACGAAACACACACAAAAAAAAAAAGGAGAAAAAUCGCAAAUCUUUUCCAAGAAACAAAAAUUAUUAUUUUGUGCGCCGCGUACGAUAAGAAUCGAUAUGCGUUUCUUCAUGAUCAUUAGCAUGAUUUUCGUGUGCAUCAUUAUUAAUAUGAUAACGGCACAAACUACGGAAGCUAAUAAUGAGUCUAAGAAUACGACAUCAUAUCGACGAUAUGGAGGACACGGAGGAGGACAUGCAGCUAGACCUAACAUAAUUCAUGGACCAAUUAUACCCUGUCCAUCUGGACAGCAACAUGAUUCGAACGGUAAAUGUCGUACUUCAGCAUAAUUUUUCGAUAAAUCGAUUAUAUACACUGACAUUGACUCGUAUUUUCUAUUAAAUAUAAAUUAAAAUUAAUUAGAAUCGAUUAAAGAAUAUAAGAUAGAAUCCACGUAUAUUCUUUUUUACCAAAGUUGGAAAGUUUUAAAUAGAUUAGAUAAAGUUAGAUAUCUAGAUACUAUUAGGGAUAUAAAUAAAUCGAUUUAUUGUACAUAUUUAUGCCGGACUAUAACAUAUAUUCGUAAUACUAUAUAUAUAUAUAUAUAUUGCGUUUAUGUUAGUAAUAAUUAUUUCGUAAGAAAAUAUUUUUUUUUAUACUUAUACAAUAUUACGCAUUAUCCGAGCUAAUAAUUUUAAUUAUAAAUUGAAUUGUGAAUUAGAUUAUAAUGAAAUAAUUCAAUUUCAAAUGAAUAAACGAUUUAAAAAAAUAUAUCGAUGUUCGUAUUAUCGAGUGUAUUUUUUUUUGUUUUUUUUUUUUUUUUUUUUGUUUUUCCUCUCAACAACAAAUCAAAAAUAAUUCUGAUUAGUGCGUUGACUAUCGAUCGAAUAAUAAAAGAAACAGUGGAAAAUGUUAUCGUAGAUUUAAUAGACAUAUCUGUCUGUAUAUGUGUUUAUCGUAGGUAAGCAUAUUUUAUGUAUGUAUUCAUUACGUUAUUAUUUGUUUUGGAAAUAAAAGAUGAAUGAUAAUGCA